UUCAUUCAUUUAUUAUUCACAUCUAAAAACAAACAUUUUUCUUAAAUACACAUAUUUCUUUCUGUGGGAUUGUCAAAGUCUUUGUGUUGAUUUCUUGGUUGUAUUUUUUCUUGUAGCUUAUGACGUACGAAGGGUGAAAAAUGCGAUAAAGGGUGAAAAAAAGUGAUAAAUUCAACAGUAUGAACCGUACUGAUCUGAUUCCAGGUCUUUACCAUUAUGACCAUUUGUUCAAUGCUUUUAACAAUUUUCCUAAACUCUUAACACAGUUAAACGGUAAAUGGUCUGCACUUAUAUAGCGCUUUUAUCCAAAGCGCUUUAUACUGUGUCUCAUUCACCCUCUCUCUCACACACACACACACACACACACAAUGGUAGCAGAGCUGCUAUGCAAGGCACUUGGGGUUCAGUGUCUUGCCCAAGGACACUUCGGCAUGUGGUGUCAUUUGGGCCGGAAAUCGAACCGCCAACCCUACGAUUAGUGUACACCCCGCUCUACCACCUGAUCCACAGCCGCCCCUACACCCACCCACAAUUAGCACAACACCCGUCUGUGUAGGCUGUACAAUUAACACAUUUCUUGUUGCUUUGACACAAAAUGCAUAUAGUUCACACAAAUUUAAAAUGCUUCUUUUACACACGAGCUCAAUCGAGACCAAAACAAUGCAUUUUUACUGCCAAAUUGACCAAUGCUUUCACGCUGUACGUCAGAACAGGUAACAUCAUGUUCUAAACCGGCAUUCUGUCUCUCUAAGGAUUCAACGUCUACCUACUAAAUGAAGAACAGGAACUUGCUAUUGUCCACAUGGUGACUGCUGACAAUGAAAUGAAACAGAAGGACAGAGUUGUAGAGGACAACCUCGUCUUUGGGAACGUUGCAGCAAUCGGCGUAACACCCAUUUCUCGGACUCUAGCUAAACACAGGGACACCAAAUGUCCCUCCUGGAUCAGGUGUGACGUGGAUGAGAACAUGUGGCCAAACGCAGAAAGCCAGGCAGAUAAGAAGAUGAUUUGAUUUUCAGACGUGUUUGCAGUGUUUUGGUAGACAUAGUGUAAUGUGUUAGUGUAUUAUUGUAUUUUGAGAAUUAGCGUUGGAGUUUAGUUUACAGUGUGAUCUCGAGCAUGUAAUGAACCGUUUUGCCAGUUGUGUGUUGUGGGUGUGUCGGUGCGUUAAGAGUUUAUGAAAAUUGUUAAAAGUAUUUUAAAAAUUGUCAUAGCGAUCGUAAGAAACUGUAAGUUAUGUUACGUUCUUAUUUUCACCCCUCAUUCCCCCGUCAUGUUGAUUCUGCUGAGGAUCCAUUUCUGUUCUCACUGUCUUCUGUCUCAAACACUUGCCUCCUGGGAUCUAAAAGUUACGCCAUGUUUCUGUGAAAAAAUCUAGAGACAGAUUUAAUGUAUGAAAACACACACGUGACUGAAAAAAUGUUCAAAGCUGAGUGAUUAAUGUUUACAUCUGCAAUGGGUCACUUCUAUUCAGUUAAAACUUGAAAAUACAACUUUUAUUUUGGUUAAAUGAACCUCAUCCUGCAGCAUAAACAUGAAAAGUCCUCAUAUUAUUACUAAAGGAGCUGCUAAAUGCAAGAUUUUUUAUCUUGCUUACAUCUCUUAGCUCAUCACACUCCAUCUGAGCCUCAGUGAACAGGUUCCCCAAGUACUGCACUGUCUCUCGCAGUCUCUCCACCUGGGUGGUCAGGUCAGCCUUCUCCACCUGCAGCAGAGUGAUGGACUCCUCAGCCUUCUGGUGUUUCUCCUCCACUUCAGUCAGGGAGGCCUGAAAAGAUCAUCAGAGCACCUGUGAGUCUCAUUGAGGAGGUUCCCCAAGUACUGCACUGUCUCUUGCAGUGUCUCCACCUGGUUGGUCAGGUCAGCCUUCUCCAUCUGCAGCUGAGUGAUGGUCUCCUCAGCCUUCUGGUGUUUCUCCACCGCUUCAGUCAGG
ensembl:lncRNA